rnacentral:rRNA from 1 species
AUGCCGCGUGCAGGAUGAAGGCCUUCGGGUUGUAAACUGCUUUUGUACGGAACGAAAAAGCUCUCUCUAAUACAGGGGGUGAAUGACGGUACCGUAAGAAUAAGCACCGGCUAACUACGUGCCAGCAGCCGCGGUAAUACGUAGGGUGCAAGCGUUAAUCGGAAUUACUGGGCGUAAAGCGUGCGCAGGCGGUUAUGUAAGACAGAGGUGAAAUCCCCGGGCUCAACCUGGGAACUGCCUUUGUGACUGCAUAGCUGGAGUGCGGCAGAGGGGGAUGGAAUUCCGCGUGUAGCAGUGAAAUGCGUAGAUAUGCGGAGGAACACCGAUGGCGAAGGCAAUCCCCUGGGCCUGCACUGACGCUCAUGCACGAAAGCGUGGGGAGCAAACAGGAUUAGAUACCCUGGUAGUCCACGCCCUAAACGAUGUCAACUGGUUGUUGGGUCUUCACUGACUCAGUAACGAAGCUAACGCGUGAAGUUGACCGCCUGGGGAGUACGGCCGCAAGGUUAAAACUCAAAGGAAUUGACGGG